GCUCCCGUAGUGUAGUGGUUAUCACGUCUGCUUUACACGCAGAAGGUCCCAGGUUCGAGCCCUGGCAGGAGCA
rnacentral:tRNA from 1 species